CUUCUGUCGUUUGGCGCGUUUGGAGCCUUUGCUAAGGCUUCGUUGAGGUGUGAGUGGGCAACGGUAAUAUUAGUGUUGAUCAUUAUAGGCCAUCUCAAGACGUCGAAAUACCUCUUCGCAUAUCAAAACAAAAUGGCAGAGAACAGACCAACUCAGAGACGAGGAAGAUAUUGUUUAGCUGGUGCUCCAAAUCAGUGAAGCUGUAAAAAUACCACUUUUACACCUAAUGUAAAAAUGCAUCAGUUUCCUUCUGAUGCAGCUAUUCUGGAGAAGUGGGUAAAAUUUGUGCAAAGACAUCAGCCUGAUUUCCGGGAGCCAUCAAGCAAGUAUGCCUCACUGUACACUAUUUAGUAUUACUAAAGUUUCAUUGUUUGCACUCUAAUUUAAUUCAAUUCAGUUCAAUUUCAGUUUAUUUACAGUUUUUUUCAAUUUUAUAGAAUAGAAUUACAAGGAAAUAUAUAGUUUGAAUAACAUUUAAAAUAUUAUACGUGUACUAUAAUUAACCUAUUAUAGGUGUAAGUGUACGGCAGCCAAAGGAGCUAAAGCUUUCUAGUUGCCUGUCGUGAUUUUCAUUUGGUGUCAAUAUAGAGGA